rnacentral:rRNA from 1 species
UACGUAUGGGGCAAGCGUUGUUCGGAUUUACUGGGCGUAAAGGGCGUGUAGGCGGUGUGGUAAGUCGGAUGUGAAAUCUCUAGGCUCAACCUGGAAACUGCAUUCGAAACUGGCAUGCUUGAGUACCGGAGAGGGAAACGGAAUUCCUGGUGUAGGGGUGAAAUCUGUAGAUAUCAGGAAGAACACCGGUGGCGAAGGCGGUUUCCUGGCCGGAUACUGACGCUGAGGCGCGAAAGCUAGGGGAGCAAACAGGAUUAGAUACCCCCGUA